rnacentral:tRNA from 1 species
GCCCGGGUGGUGGAACGGCAGACACGGUCGCCUUAAAAGCGACUGCCUCAAGCAGGCGUGCGGGUUCGAGACCCGCCCCGGGCA